CGGGGACGUAGAUCAGAUGGUAGAGCACUCGCUUAGCAUACGAGAGGCACGGGGAUAGAUUCCCCGCGCCUCGA